CGCGUAGGCGGACCAUUAAGUCAGGGGUGAAAUCCCGGGGCUCAACCCCGGAACUGCCCUUGAUACUGGCGGUCUUGAGUUCGAGAGAGGUGAGUGGAAUUCCGAGUGUAGAGGUGAAAUUCGUAGAUAUUCGGAGGAACACCAGUGGCGAAGGCGGCUCACUGGCUCGAUACUGACGCUGAGGUGCGAAAGCGUGGGGAGCAAACA
rnacentral:rRNA from 1 species